AAGUCGUAACAAGGUUUCCGUAGGUGAACCUGCGGAAGGAUCAUUAACGAAUUAGCAAGGAUCUAUGGUUGUAGCUGGCCCUCUCGAGGGUAUGUGCACGCCUGGGUUCGAACUUUUCAUUUACCACCUGUGCACCUUUUGUGGAAUCGCGAGAUGGGUUAGCAAUAAACCAUUUCAGAGUAACAUCCGGUUUUGAGACUUGCGCCUAAUCCGCGCUUGACUCUAAUUAUUAACAACCUGUUUCGCGGUUUUCACGUUAACUUUACACACUACAAAUACAAUCUAGAAUGCUUCAAAGUUGGGACUUUAGUGACCCUUCUUAAAUUUAAUACAACUUUCAACAACGGAUCUCUUGGCUCUC
rnacentral:misc_RNA from 1 species